rnacentral:lncRNA from 1 species
GCGGCGGCCGCGUGAGCCGCCGGAGCAGGAGCUGCAGCGACGUCGGGAGCAGAAGCGGCGGCGACACGACGCGCAGCAGCUGCAGCAGCUCAAGCACCUGGAGUCCUUUUACGAAAAACCUCCUCCUGGGCUUAUCAAGGUUAGUGUGAAGUUUGUACUCUUGGUUAUUCCACAAGACAUACUUGUAGACUCAGUAACUUGUUAUGAAAAAUAAUUGCAUGAUGUUAAAUCUCCUUUUACCAAAAGCCUGUUUCUUUUCCUGCAGAUGAAUGAGGGGUCAUAAUUUUUAGUUUUGUCACAAGCCUCUGCCUUUGCAGAAAUUUCAUCAGCCAUGUUUCCCUUCCCUGAAGAACCAGUGCAGGCCCACGUGGAUUCCUUGGCCAUGCCCCUCUUCUCUCUUGCUGGGGAUGGCAUCUCUAAGCUCCUUUUCCUUGUCGGCCUCACCCGGCUCAGCCCCUCGGUCCAUCCUCUGCUGGUUUCUUGAGCUCAGCAGCUCAGAGAGCAGUAAACUCUGAGGAGAUCUGACAGCUAU